rnacentral:rRNA from 1 species
GAUCAUGGCUCAGAACGAACGCUGGCGGCAUGGAUUAGGCAUGCAAGUCGAACGGUGCAGCAAUGCAUAGUGGCGCAAGGGUGAGGAACGCGUGAGUAACCUGCCCUCAAGUUGGGAACAGCUUCUGGAAACGGAAAUUAAUACCGAAUGUGACCAUAAGGAGGCAUCUUUUUAUGGUUAAGGCCGCAAGGUCGCUUGAGGAGGGGCUCGCGUCCCAUUAUGCUGGUUGGUGAGGUAACGGCCCACCAAGGCGAAGAUGGGUAGCUGGUCUGAGAGGACGAUCAGCCACACUGGGACUGAGAACUGCCCAGACUCCUACGGGAGGCUGCAGUCGAGAAUUUUGGGCAAUGGACGAAAGUCUGACCCAGCCAAUGCCGCGUGCGGGAUGAAGGUCUUCGGAUUGUAAACCGCUGUCAAGUGGGACGAAACAAGUGACGGUACCGCUGAAGGAAGUCACGGCUAACUACGUGCCAGCAGCCGC